GGAAGUGUUUGCCAGGCUGGUGCCGGCCUCGGACUUCAAAUCCGAUGGGGGGUGCGGCGACGCGCUCCCGGCGGGUUCGAUUCCCGUCCACUUCCGCCA
rnacentral:tRNA from 1 species